UACGUAGGGCGCAAGCGUUGUCCGGAAUCACUGGGCGUAAAGGGCGCGUAGGCGGCUUGAUAAGCGUGCGGUGAAAGCCCGGGGCUCAACCCCGGGUCGGCCGUGCGAACUGUCGAGCUGGAGCACUGUAGAGGCAGGUGGAAUUCCGGGUGUAGCGGUGGAAUGCGUAGAGAUCCGGAAGAACACCGGUGGCGAAGGCGGCCUGCUGGGCAGUGGCUGACGCUGAGACACGAAAGCGUGGGUAGCAAACAGG
rnacentral:rRNA from 1 species